GACGAACGCUGGCGGCGUGCUUAACACAUGCCAGUCGAACGGAAAGGCCCUGCUUUUGUGGGGUGCUCGAGUGGCGAACGGGUGAGUAACACGUGAGUAACCUGCCCUUGACUUUGGGAUAACUUCAGGAAACUGGGGCUAAUACCGGAUAGGAGCUCCUGCUGCAUGGUGGGGGUUGGAAAGUUUCGGCGGUUGGGGAUGGACUCGCGGGUUAUCAGCUUGUUGGUGGGGUAGUGGCUUACCAAGGCUUUGACGGGUAGCCGGCCUGAGAGGGUGACCGGCCACAUUGGGACUGAGAUACGGCCCAGACUCCUACGGGAGGCAGCAGUGGGGAAUAUUGCACAAUGGGCGGAAGCCUGAUGCAGCAACGCCGCGUGCGGGAUGACGGCCUUCGGGUUGUAAACCGCUUUCGCCUGUGACGAAGCGUGAGUGACGGUAAUGGGUAAAGAAGCACCGGCUAACUACGUG
rnacentral:rRNA from 1 species